rnacentral:rRNA from 1 species
AUAUGUAGGGGGCGAGCGUUGUCCGGAAUGAUUGGGCGUAAAGGGCGCGUAGGCGGCCCGGUAAGUCUGGAGUGAAAGUCCUGUUUUUAAGAUGGGAAUUGCUUUGGAUACUGUCGGGCUUGAGUGCAGGAGAGGUAAGUGGAAUUCCCAGUGUAGCGGUGAAAUGCGUAGAGAUUGGGAGGAACACCAGUGGCGAAGGCGACUUACUGGACUGUAACUGACGCUGAGGCGCGAAAGUGUGGGGAGCAAACAGGAUUAGAUACCCUGGUAGUCCACACUGUAAACGAUGAAUGCUAAGUGUAGGGGGUAUCGACCCCUUCUGUGCCGCAGUCAACACAAUAAGCAUUCCGCCUGGGGAGUACGGCCGCAAGGUUGAAACUCAAAGGAAUUGACGGGG